rnacentral:rRNA from 1 species
AUUGAACGCUGGCGGCAGGCCUAACACAUGCAAGUCGAGUGGAUGAAGGGAGCUUGCUCCUGGAUUCAGCGGCGGACGGGUGAGUAAUGCCUAGGAAUCUGCCUGGUAGUGGGGGAUAACGUCCGGAAACGGGCGCUAAUACCGCAUACGUCCUGAGGGAGAAAGUGGGGGAUCUUCGGACCUCACGCUAUCAGAUGAGCCUAGGUCGGAUUAGCUAGUUGGUGGGGUAAAGGCCUACCAAGGCGACGAUCCGUAACUGGUCUGAGAGGAUGAUCAGUCACACUGGAACUGAGACACGGUCCAGACUCCUACGGGAGGCAGCAGUGGGGAAUAUUGGACAAUGGGCGAAAGCCUGAUCCAGCCAUGCCGCGUGUGUGAAGAAGGUCCUCGGAUUGUAAAGCACUUUAAGUUGGGAGGAAGGGCAGUAAGUUAAUACCUUGCUGUUUUGACGUUACCAACAGAAUAAGCACCGGCUAACUUCGUG